rnacentral:rRNA from 1 species
AUUGAACGCUGGCGGCAUGCCUUACACAUGCAAGUCGAACGGCAGCACGGGUGCUUGCUCCUGGUGGCGAGUGGCGAACGGGUGAGUAAUACAUCGGAACAUGUCCUGUCGUGGGGGAUAGCCCGGCGAAAGCCGGAUUAAUACCGCAUACGAUCUACGGAUGAAAGCGGGGGACCUUCGGGCCUCGCGCUAUAGGGUUGGCCGAUGGCUGAUUAGCUAGUUGGUGGGGUAAAGGCCUACCAAGGCGACGAUCAGUAGCUGGUCUGAGAGGACGACCAGCCACACUGGGACUGAGACACGGCCCAGACUCCUACGGGAGGCAGCAGUGGGGAAUUUUGGACAAUGGGCGAAAGCCUGAUCCAGCAAUGCCGCGUGUGUGAAGAAGGCCUUCGGGUUGUAAAGCACUUUUGUCCGGAAAGAAAUCCUUGGCCCUAAUACGGUCGGGGGAUGACGGUACCGGAAGAAUAAGCACCGGCUAACUACGUG